UACAGAGGUCUCAAGCGUUGUUCGGAAUUACUGGGCGUAAAGCGCACGUAGGCGGAUUUGUAAGUCAGGGGUGAAAUCCCGGGGCUCAACCUCGGAACUGCCUUUGAUACUGCAAAUCUCGAGUCCGGAAGAGGUGAGUGGAAUUCCUAGUGUAGAGGUGAAAUUCGUAGAUAUUCGGAAGAACACCAGUGGCGAAGGCGGCUCACUGGCCCGGUACUGACGCUGAUGUGCGAAAGCGUGGGGAGCAAACAGG
rnacentral:rRNA from 1 species